rnacentral:rRNA from 1 species
GAAUCUGAAGAGAUUCGGAAGUGCUCGCAAGAGAACCGGAACACAGGUGCUGCAUGGCUGUCGUCAGCUCGUGUCGUGAGAUGUUGGGUUAAGUCCCGCAACGAGCGCAACCCUUGUCAUUAGUUGCUACGAAAGGGCACUCUAAUGAGACUGCCGGUGACAAACCGGAGGAAGGUGGGGAUGACGUCAAGUCCUCAUGGCCCUUAUGGGUAGGGCUUCACACGUCAUACAAUGGUCGGGACAGAGGGUCGCCAACCCGCGAGGGGGAGCCAAUCCCANAAACCCGAUCGUAGUCCGGAUCGCAAUCUGCAACUCGACUGCGUGAAGUCNGAAUCGCUAGUUAUCGCGGAUCAGCAUGUCGCGGUGAAUACNUUCCCGGGUCUUGUACACACCG